UACUGCUUUUAUCUCCGUCUCCCCUGACACACUGCUCUGUUGCUCCAAAUGUAGUUUAACACUCUGUGACAAAUAGCUUAAAAAGUGGGCACUCAAAUUUCACUCUUCUGACACUUGAAAUAUUAUUAUAAUGUGUGUUUCCUCCUCUGCCACAUGCAGGCUUGCCUAGUCACAGUCCACUAUUUACCAUGCAAGAUGAACUUUGGACUUCCUCAACUACGGACUUAACUAAAGCUAAGUAAGAAACUGCAAAUAUUAAGUUAACCAUAUUUCCCUAAACUGCCAAAGCAACAUUUUUGCUACUUUCACUAUUAUGUAGUAAGCAAGAAGAGGGUUUGGACAUUUUGUUUUGGUUUUGUAUCCACAGCACAUAAGAAAAAGGGUAAGAUUACACAGCAAUUGGAUCAAAUAGGAUAUUUGUAAGCCUGAGUUUUUAUUUCUAAUAUAUUGACAGAUUCUGCCCAUUUGAGUUGAAUGUCUUAUAACUCAUCUUGCAGAAGACAGCCUGCUAUUGGAAUCAUCAGAUCAGCAGCCUCUGCAUGCAUCAGUGAGGAACUCUGGGGAGAAAUACAGUCUUGAAAUAAGCUGAAAACCAUUCAUUCGUCUCACAAAGCUGAGGGAAGGGGAACCUCUGUGAUCUGCAUAUUGGCACCAAGUGGAUUGAGGUACACAAGGGUUUAGAGAUGCAGUAAAGAUGCUCACAUAGCAGAUCUCACACAUUAUUUUUGUGCAGGUCUCUCAGUCCUUGUUACUGUAGAAUUGGUAUCAUAGUUCAGAAGGGCAAAGUAGUCCAAGUAGUCAGUGUUGGAGACAUAUCUGAGACAUGAAUCAAAUAGAUGGAGGCCAUAGAGCUG
ensembl:lncRNA